CCAGUAUAAAUGUCACUGCACUUUCCUUCAAUGUGUUUCUUUAUGUGAAACUUGGGGAGGUCUUCAUUUUGCUGACAGUCUGUGUAGGAUCAUACUGGUUUUACAAGGCGAAAACCACUUCUACAGUACAAGAUGAUAAUAACUAGUGGGUCUGAAGUCUCUUAAGUGGACCAAGAUGGAAAAUAGCCAAUGAAACUCUAUGAAAGUCCAUGAGUUGAGCAACAAUGCAAAUGUAAGAUUUAUUUAAUCAAAACAGCAGAUCUGGGCCAGGUUUCUCAAAGCACUAAGAGGAUCGCAAGAUGCUCGUAAGUGCCUUGUGCCUUUUCCGAAACCAUUGUUACUUAAGUGGCACGUAACAUCGCUUGUUAAUUAACGAGUGCUCCGGACCACUCAUUAGUCCAUAUUUACCGAUCUUAACAGGCAUUUUACUGGUAUGUAAAACAAGAAAUAGGCUAAUUAAGAAAAAGUGUUCAAAAUGUACUGUUCACGAGUCUGAAAGCCUGCAUUGUACUGCUACUAUAUUUGAUGUAUACAGUGGUGUGAAAAAGUGUUUGCCCCCUUCCUGAUUUCUUGUUUUUUUGCAUGUUUGUCACACUUAUAUGUUUCAGAUCAUCAAACAAAUUUGAUGAUCUUAUUUCAGUAAUCUGGCUACGUGCCUGAUCACCUUAAGACCCAUAAUACAGGCAACCACGCACCGCCAUCCAAAAUAUUCAUUAGCAAAUGUAAUCUUAAUCAUAACUGACCUCGACAAAUGGACAUUAUUAUUACUACCGGAUCUAGUAUUACAGUUUACUGCAGUUCUUUGUGUGAUUUGUCCAACUGGUGUUGCCGUACCCCAGCUGAAGUCAGUAAUGGACUGCUGUUGGUAGGUACAAUAUCAAACACUGGACUGUCUCUCUAUUACAUUACUUUCAAUUGGUUAAAAAGUGGAAAACUAGAAUGUAAUAUGAGUGUUAUGUAGGCUAUAUCACUGUUGAUUCUGAUAGUUUUAAUGACAACGUCCAUAUGUCAUUUGCACUGGAACUGUAAUUGUGGAAAGAAAUAAUAUUUUGCUAAAAAGUGUGAGUAACUGUAUGUGGAAACAAAUGUUUUGGAUUAAAAACGGGCCGAUUUGCAAAGUCUAACCAUCAUUAACGUUAGCUAUCAUAGCUAAGUCACCUGGAAAGUUAAUUAGCCACAUUUUAGAAAGCCCAUAUGAAGUCUGAGUAAAGUGUCAAUCAUGUAUGUUGCUCUGCAUGUGUAAUUUAUAUAGACAGUAGUAGCUUUCAUUUAUUGCUGUCAGGGUCGUGGAGGAAGGGCAGAGGCAAUCGGAUACAUCCUUUUAAUGUUCUUCUUUGAAAACAAAAGGAGAGGCAGACCGCAAACUAAAGCAAAUAACGCAAACAAUGAUCCACAAAGUAAGGAAACCAAGGACAACUUAAAUAGAGUCCCCAAUUAGAGGCAACACAGGGCAUCUUCCUCUAAUUGGGGACAAUCAAAACUGCAGCGCAGAGAUGUCUAGACGCCCCCAGCCAGGCAGUGACAGUAUAAUGCGCGGGGAAGGGGGAGGCUCCGCCCCUGGAGCAGGAUGCAAGCGUGUUAUGGAAAUUCUCAUACUGAUGUAUACUUAGUCCUAAAUGGGUUACUAGUUAUAGGUACUGAGUCCCCAUGUUUAGAUAAGAAAAGGAACGUAGGAGAGGGGGAUUUAGUAUUUGUUUAGGGUCAUUAUUGACUGGUAUCCACAGAUUAUAGGGUUACUCAUAAAUCU